AGGAUUGUGUUUUAGAGAUAUCUCACAAUUGAUCGAAAUGAUCGAUUUAUAUAGAAGUGAAAAAGCUGAAGUUACUGUGCGUACAUAGCGACGGUGGGUUCCAUAUCAUUUAUAAUGUCAAAAGUUUUGUGCCGUAAACAUCGAUGUUGUUUAGUUUAUAACAGAUUUCAUUCCAACAAACAAUAUAUUUCCGUUUUUCUCGAUCCCUUUCAACUAAAUAAUUUUUGGCAUAAUUAAAAGUGUUUGUGAUCUGGAACAAGAGAUCAUCGCGGAUUUGCGGAUUUCAAGUUAAGCGCUUUGUACGAGGUCAUUAUGAAGGCGAUUUGUCUUAGGGUUCGGAGAAGUGGACGAAGGUUUUGCGACUUGAUUUUCAUCUUGCUAGGAAACCCUUUAGUGGCUUCUCUAAUGGCGGUUCUUAAUUCAAGAUGGAGACGCUGAUCCCUGCUGCACUAACAAGUUCCAAGUUCACAAAAAUAAAAAAAAAAUCAAAAGAGAAAGAAGAUUGAGCACUCACUGAUUAACAUAAAUAUGUCUGUCUUUUUAUAUAUCUUAUAACUCCUUUGUGGUUUUGUUGACAUUUGGUCGGUGUCAGUGAUUUGUAGUGUCUGGGUUUGAAGAAUCUUCGGAAUACAUAUUUUCUGAAUUCUGUAUCGCAAUUUUUGACAUACACUGAGUGCUUAGAUGCUUACUUUCUUGAUGUUGGCAAUGUGAAACGUUGUAUGUUGCAUUUGGAAGCUGGUUUGAUUAAUUGCUUGGCUUGAGGCAUGUUAGGACGGCCCUUCAAGCUCCUGGCAGAAUAGCAGCACCAAGUCUCAAACUUUGGAGGUACACUUUUGUAAUCUUUUGUAAGAAUCUAAUCAUAUCUUUCUGGAAAGAGAUGAUCUUCACGGCAAUACUAUCAAUUGUACAUUUAUGCGUCAUGUACGUCAGUAAGGUUAUCAUCCAGAGCUCAUAGAUUUCACCUUCGGCAAGAGAUCUCUGCCCUUGCAGGAUCUUCUUUGAGGAAUGAGAGGAGCCACAUCUCAUGUCAUUGCCAAAAAAGCUGAGCUAAUUUCUAAAGGAAUUAUAUAAUUUCAUAAAUAGGAGAUUGAUUCAUUGUCAUUGAUUUUGUCUUGAUUAAUUACUACUCUGAUAGAUAACAGAGCUAAAGAUGUUACAAGUAUUUCCAACGGAUCUUGUUUGAGACUCUUAAAAUUUUUGAAUUCCGAGAUUCGCUUAUAAGUUUACGUGGAGAAGUAGUGGCUUUUGACCAAAAUCCUUGGUCUAAUGGUUGCAGGAUUUUUACAAAAUUUCCAGUGGAUGUUUAUUCUAUGCUUUAAUUGGAGGAUAGCAAUCAAUAAACACCUCAGCUUUUGUCUAUCAUUUUCAUAAGAUUUUUUUGUUUCACUUAUAUAUUUGUGUACCUCUCAGCUUUCCUCUGAUGUUAAAGAGCAGGAAACUUCAGCAGUUGAUUACACAGCAGGGGACAUGAUCUUUUUCUACUGUGAUUCCCCAUACCUCCAAGGUUCUAUCUGAAGUAGAAGAGAGUGAUAGUACAGGAAAUUCCAUGAAAAGAGGAUGACGAAGAAGAUGAGCAUGAUGAAGAACAUUUUCACUAACCUGGGGUAGAAGAACUAAAUUAUAAAACAUCAUAGAGUUUUACCUCUAUCGACUGAGCUGUGGAAAGUCUGUAAACAUGAACAUGUUUGGUUUGACCAAUUCGGUGACAUUUGUCCAUGGUUUGCAAGGCCAUUCGAGAGUUUUGUAUCAGGAACCCCCAUAGGGAAAAAUAUUGUUAAUAAAAUUUUCUAAAUAA